UCUUGGUGCACACACUAGAACAAGUUUCAA
rnacentral:piRNA from 1 species